CACCGGCGGCUCGAGUGGUGGCCACUUUUAUUGGGUCUAAAGCGUCCGUAGCCGGCUUGGCAAGUCCCCUGGGAAAUCUGGCGGCUUAACCGUCAGGCGUCCAGAGGAUACUGCCAGGCUUGGGACCGGGAGAGGUGAGAGGUACCUCAGGGGUAGGGGUGAAAUGUGUUGAUCCCUGGAGGACCACCAGUGGCGAAGGCGUCUCACUAGAACGGGUCCGACGGUCAGGGACGAAAGCUGGGGGCACGAACCGG
rnacentral:rRNA from 1 species